rnacentral:rRNA from 1 species
CUCGUAGGCGGUUUGUCGCGUCUGCCGUGAAAGUCCGGGGCUCAACUCCGGAUCUGCGGUGGGUACGGGCAGGCUAGAGUGAUGUAGGGGAGACUGGAAUUCCUGGUGUAGCGGUGAAAUGCGCAGAUAUCAGGAGGAACACCGAUGGCGAAGGCAGGUCUCUGGGCAUUAACUGACGCUGAGGAGCGAAAGCAUGGGGAGCGAACAG